CCCCCCAAAGGCGAAACUUCAUCUUCUUCAUGGAGGAGCACCCAAAAUAUUUCAGCGGCUAGAACCAAAACUCAGACGCCUAAAAGAUCUGGGAGUGCCUUUAUUAAAAAUAAAAAAAACCACAGACCCCCUUCAUCAUAACAUCUCUCACGCUAAUUACCUACCACCCAACGGCCAGAACACCUUCGAACUCACCUUCACGCAAGCCUGAAAAUCAACCACCCUCCAUUAAUCUCCAUGUUGAACUGUCACUGCUGAUCUCUUCUUCUUCUGCAACUCCCCUGAAAUCAACCUAAAAUCACACACACACAAAGAUCUCCAUCGCGACUGCUCCUUCUUCUUCGUCUAUCGCAGCCACAACAACCUCGAAACCUACUUGAGUGCUUCAAUGUUGGUUCGAGUUUGUUUCCGGUCGCUGGUUUGAGAUUUCCAUCUUAGUCUUCGGCUUACAGUCUGUUCGUGUUUGGCCAUAGUGUUGCGUUCUUCUUAUAACCAGUUGGAAGAUCUUAAUAUAUCGAAAAGAUUCAAAGGUCCGUUGUUAUCUUCUUUAUAUUUUUUCUUGGAUGGUUAAAUAUCUAUAAUCUGUUAUGGCUUGCUAAAUAUUUUUUCGUAGAAGUCAUUUUCACUUAGUUGGUUUCAUGUUUGUUACUUCGUCUUCUUGUUAAUUAAGGAAAUUGCAAAAAAUUAGUUGAAUAAUGAGGGGAUUAGCAAUAAUAGACCAUGUGAAUGUUGGUUGAAAUUUAUUUAAGUUCAACGUACGUUUGUAUCCUACGUGCUUUAUGAGAAAUUUUUAAAACCUUUAAAUCUGAUUUGGUACAUUAGUUAGUGGUUGAUAUCGUGUUUUUGAUUCUUGGUAAAAUUGGCAAAAUCUGGUUAUUUUUGCCUUUUAACGUUAAAUAAAUUAAUGCGUGCCAUGCCAAAUAAAAUCCCUAAUCCCACGGCCCUCAAUUAAUUUUAACUCUUUAGAAAAUCGAGGUGCGCCAUCAGUUGAAUUUUCCAUGGCACUCACAAAUUUGAAAGUGCGUAGUUGCUUUAGACGCGCUAUUUUAAAAAUUACUUACUUAAACUCGAGUGUGCAUUUCAUGUGACCUAAAUCCAAAUCUCAACAACGUUAGAUAAAAUAUGUUGCGGACCGUGGGUGCAUUUCAUGUGGCGUGGUCCAAGGCGUGUUUUAAAUAGCGUUGAAUCUUCUUAAAAAUGAUUAGAAGCGGUUAAUAAUUUAAGAUCUACCAUAGGCUAAAACAUGUAUUAAAAUCAGAUAAUAGGCCAAUUAUAACAGUUGAGCGACCUUGCUAGAACCAUGGAACUCGGGAAUGUCUAACACCUUCUCCCGGGUUAACAGAAUUCCUUACCCGUAUUUUUGUGUUCGCGGACUGUAAUACAAAGUCAACCUUUUCCUCGAUUCGGGAUUUGAACCGGUGACUUGGGACACCAUGAACUAUCCCAAGUGGUGACUCUGAAUGUAAUAAAUAAAUAAUCCCUUUUCAAUUGUCACUUUAAGUUGGAAAAAACUACCUAUAUACUCCCUUACAGGGUGUAUGUAAAAAGGAGGUGUGACAAUCACCAUUGAAGAAUGUCAUUUUGAUAUCCAUUUGAUGAACAUGUAGGUCAUAAAUAGAUUCUAACGCAAAUAUAAUUCCAAUUAAUGUAAUUCUUGCUACCUUUACAUAUGUAUCAAAAUAAUCAAUUCCUUCUUUUUAUCGAAAGCCAUUACCAACUAAUCUAUCUUUGUAAGUAUGUAAAGUCUCAUCAGUAUGAUACUUUCUCUGAAACACCCAGUUACAAUUGAUAGGUUCAGAAAUUGGAGGAAGAUCAACAAGUUUCUAAGUGUGGUUUGAUAUUAUUGGAUCCAUUUCAUCUUUAAUAGCAAAUUUCCAAAAGGCUGCAUCUUUAUAAGCCAUAGCCUCUCUAUAAGUUUUAGGAUCAUCUUCCACUUGAAGAAUAAUUGAAAUUGUUCUCACAAAUGUAUCUUUAUUACUUUCAACAAGCCUAAAAGAAAUAUGUUGAGAGUCAACCUCAUAUGAUCCAAGUAUUUUAGCCUUUCGAACUCUAGUGCUUCUCCUUCGUUCACAAGGAUGAUCAUUAACCUCCUGUGAACUAGAUUGAUUAACAAUAUUUUGAAAUAUUUUUCUAAUGUUACAUCAGUUGACAAAGAUUGAAAUUUUCUACCCGAGGAUAAAAGAUAUUAAAAAAAUUCUACAUAUCUAGCUUCAAUAAUGUAAUUUUACUACAAAUUAAGAAGUUGAUAACCUUUUAUAUUUGAGGCAUAACCUAUAAAUGCACACUUGAUCCCUCUAGGGCCCAACUUGGUCCAAUUUUGAUCAUUACUUUUGCAAUAUGCAAGACACCCUCUGUAACGAUCCGAUUAGUCGUUUUCAGCAUUAAGGCUCCGUUCAUUGGUUCGAGUUUGCUAUUGACUUCAUGUUGUGAAUUAUGGCUUGCGUACAUGGUCGGAUUUGAUUUUCGGAUGUUUCAGGAUGUAUUUGGAUGAGUGAUUCUUACUUUAGAGGUUUAAGUUGAAAAUAAUGACUAUGAUUUGACUUUUGAUAAACGACACCGGAACAAUGCUUUUAUGGCUCCGAAAACUUCAUACUGUGAUUUUGGACUAGGGCGCAUGCCCGAAAUCGAAUUCGAAGGUCUGUAGGUUGAUAAUUUGUGUUGUUUUGCCAAAUAUUGGCAAUUUAAAGGAUUAGAAUUUUGAUAAGUUUGACCGUUGGUUGACUUCACAGCUAUUUUGUUUAGAUUUCUAUUUCAGGAAUUGGAAUAGGUCCGUUUUGUCAUUAAAAAUUUAUCUGCAAAGUCUGGCGUCAUUCAUAGUUGAUUUGAUAGGAAUCAGACGUGCGGUUGUAUUUUUAGAAGUUCCGGAGUUUCAUGUGUUUUGGAGGUCCGAUUCAUUGAUUCAAAUGUUAUUUUGAUGAUUUGAUCGCGCGAGCAAGUUCAGUUUAUGUUUUUAGACUCGUCUCGAUGUUUUCUUUGCAGCCCUAAGGGCUCGGGUGAGUUUCAGACGCAUUUCUGAGAGUUCAUUGAAAGUUCAGAUUUUGCUGGUGCUCUGAUCUCACAAUUGCGAGAAAUAUGUCACGUUUUCAACUAUCACAUUUGUGGUGUUGAUGGUCAAUUUUGACCCUUCCUUUUAAAAUUAAUUUAUUCAUACUUAAAUAUCUACAAUAAAUAUUUUAAAAGUAUUUUCCAUCAAUAAAUAGUUGUUUUAUAAAACAAAUUGAAUAUUAGUUUCGAAAUUAAUCACCUAUAAUUAACAUUAUGUAAUUAUGAAUUUACUUACUACAUUAAACAUCAUUAAAAAAAUUCUAAAAUACACCAUCUAGGCUUUAUAAUUAAUUUCGUGAAUUAUUUCUUAAAAUCCAAUUAAUUAGAUUGUUCUGUUAGAAAUUAGUGUUAUAAUUUAGAAUACAAAGUAUUUUAGAAAUAAUUAACAAAAAUAAUUGGUAGUAUAUUUAGUGAUUAUAAUUUCUACUAUAUUUUAUUGAAAUUGUUUAAAUUAAUUUUAAGGGGGUUAAAAGGUGAAAAGGCUACAAUUGCAAAUCUCUAAUUAAACACAAGAUGACCAUCCUUUAAAUUCAUUUGGCCCAAAUGACAAGCCCAACCUGGAAAAAGCACCUAGUCUAAAGACCCUCUAAGCCAUUGUGGCGAUCCGCAUCUGUCACUACCCAAAAUUCAACUAGCCGUGAUCGCACCUAAACCAAUCCGCUAAGUAAGUCAAUUAAUAAUAAACCAAUUCCAGUGUAAUUUGAAGAGACAAUAAUGAUGAAAUAACUGUGCUUUUAUACAAAAUCCCAAGGACUGGUAGUACAAAUCACGAGCUUCUAAGAUUUAGAGUUUAGAAAGCUGGUAUGACCGGAAUGCAGGUAUGUCUUCAAUGCUAGCUCCCGCCAUACACAGCAACAUCAGCAUAAAUAAUCUGCACGCAAAGUGCAGAAGUGUAAUAUGAGUACAACCAACUCCAUGUACUCAAUAAGUAACAAAUCUAACCUUAUGUUGAAAGUAGUGACGAGCUUGGACAAGAUCGGAGUCCAAGACCAAUAGUCAACAACAUUUCAUAACAAUAUAAUAAAAGUGAUAAAAGAAGUAACCCAGAGAUGUGAUGCUCAGCUCAUUAACAGUUACUUAAAAUAGUCAUACUUCUCAGGUAUAACAGUAAAACCUAAAUCCUUCACCAAAAUAAACCAAAAUACGUGUAAGUCAGAAACCUUUGAUAUUUCCCAAAAAACCUUCAACAAUAAAUAAGAUGUUUCAUUAUCAGAUAGCAUAAGGAAAGUACUUCUCUAUGCCUACAUAUAAGUGUGCACGUGAAAUCAUGAAUGUCACCAAAACUGUGUAGAAUGAGAAAAUGCAUCUCGAUGCAUGUACGCCAAGUAUGCAUGUCAAAUGCAAUGCAUCACAGCGAUGAACUCAUGUACUCAUUGUCACGACCCAAAAUCCAACUAGUCAUGAUGACACCUAACCCAACCCGCUAGGUAAGUCAAGUAACAACUAUCCAAUUUCAUGAGAUUGAUUAAGAGAAGAAAUGACAAUACAACUGCUUUUAUACAAGAACUUCCCAAGGACUGGUCGUAGAAAUCAUGAGCUUCUAAGAUUUAGAUUUUUUUACAAGACUGAAUUGAAAUAAUUACAACAUCUGCUUGAAAUGUAAAUGAAUAGAACACGAAAACAAUGCUACCAAGGACAAGUGAUAGUUAUCAGUAGAAUGCAGGUACAUCUUCAGAGCCAGCUCCCGUCGUAUGCAAUAACAUCAGCAUCCAACAUAUGCACGCAAGGUGUAGAAGUGUAGGAGAUGAAUAGGAGUGAUGUUUCUUCUACUUGGACAUUCAUGCAUCAUAUAUCCCCUUCCUUUACAUUUAUAACAUUGAAUAGAACUAGAAGGUGUAGAAGGUUUAGAGUUAAAGCACAAAUGUUACAUCCCACAUUUUCACACGUUAAAGGUGUCGUGAUUUAGUUGUCAUACGAUCAGAGAUCAAGAUUAUUCUCAAGUUCAGGAGUGUCUAAAACCAUGCAUGGUGUUGAUAACCAAUUUUUCCCUCAUAUAUUUCAUAUAUGCAUAUAAACUUUCAAAAUAGUGCAUGAGCAUCAUCAAUAUUUUUUCCUAAUAUUUUCAUAAAUUUAAAAGAUUUUUAAUUAAUUUAUUCCCAUAUUUUAUUGUGUAAAUAAUUAUUAAUUGCAUAACAGAUAAUUUAUAUGAUUAUCUUAUUAUCUAAUCUCACCAUUUAUAUCCAUAUUAAGGCUUAAAUAUUUUUUUAUACAUUUAUCACAAAUAGAUUUGCAUUUUUAAGGCUAAAAUUGUACAUUUUGCAAUAAUAGCCUGUAUAUACUUAUAAUUACAUUAUUUUUGCAAUUUUUUUAUAUUUUUAUAGUGUUAAAUAAUUAUCAUUAAUCGUUUUUAUGAACAAAUAAUAUUUUUACUAAUUUAUUUAUCAUUUUUUACAAAUUCUUUUAUUAAUUAAAUUUGGUAUUUAACUAAUAGCCACUAAAUUCACUAAUUUCGGACCUAAACUACCAACGCCUUAGCCCAUUUACCUAAAACACCUACCCAAAUUCUUGUCCCAAUACUUAAGCCCAAUCCAUAACCCAGUCCGAAACCAACCCAGCCCUUCAACGGCUCAUAUCACUCCCUUCCUUUUAAUUAACCUACCUAUCCCAAACCCUAACCCUCAUUAUCUUAGCCCCUCGCUCUUUAUAAUAUCUCGAACCUUCACCUCAUUCUAUCAAACCCUAGCGUCGUCACCCUCAAAUCUCUCCCAUUCCGGCUCAAACAUGGAAUCAGUCCAUGAUUUACUUACCUAUUUUGUGUUACUCUAUCAUUAUACGCUCGUCUAUGGUGUUACUUAGAUUCUAUCCCUAUUUUUGGCAAGAACUACCUCAAUAAAGAAUAGAUUCACCCUGAUUUUGUGAAGAUCGGGAUGAUCUUUCGUCGAUAUAUAUGUUUUAUUGAACGAUUAUUGCAUCUCUGGUCCGAUUCAAAGCAUCGGUCUCAACUAGGGUUUGAGACCUUUCCUUGUUCUUUAUUAAUUUCUGAUUGAUACUCUUUCCUUUCUCGCAUGUGACUAAUAUUUUCCUUAUUUGUGUUCAAUCUACCGUGUUUCCUUUAUUUUUACCUUAUUUGCCUUAAAUAUGAUAGUUAAUCGAUUCUUAUGUGAUAUUUUCCUUAUUCUCUAUUGUAUACCCUUAUUUUAAUUGUUACUCGCCUGAUUACAUGCUAGUAUUCUCUGUUAAUAUACUGAACUCUUUGUUUAUGUAUUAUUUGCCCUAAAAAAUUAGAUCCUAAUUGAUUCUUUGUUUAAUACUUACCAUGUUUCAUGUUUAUACUAUACUACUAUAUAAACCCCUUCCCUUUAUCAUUUAGGACAGACUAGAAAUCAAUAUACCCUCACUGAUAAAGUUAAGAUUUGGCUUUGUGCUCUCUUUGCUAUCUCGUUCUAUCUAUGGUUUGGCCGGCUGAAAGCCAAGGCCAAAUAUUCUGGGUUCUCGACUAUUGUAGUGUUAUUCUUACUUUUCUUGCCUAACUGGUGAGUGAAUAUCUUUUGUCAUUUCAUUCCUAUGUAUCCAUGACCUGUGUUUAUGAUCUAACAUGUUUACAAUCCAUUUUGAGCAUGAUUCUACUACUUCUAUGUUCCUAUGAUUUCCUUUAGACCUAUAAUUGAUACUGUUAGUUCUAAGAUUAGUUGUUUUAUAAUAGUGUGAAUCCUCUUAGAGGUUAACUUAAUGACUUUUAAAUUAUUUCAUUUAUGUUGUUUUGGUAGUUCUGAAUGUAUUGUGAACUUAGGAUCUUCAUGAUAAUACUAGUAUGUUCACCAGUUAAUCAGUCUUAAGUCUUUACAAUCUUGUAUUGUUAUUAAACCUUUCUCUGUCAUUCAUGUGCCCUGAUAACUUACCUUCUAAUGUGUUUUGUAUCCACUUAGAUUCAUGUGAUUAUCUGAUUGUUUGCCUUAAUGCAUCGUUUAAAUGUUUUCUGUGAUUGAACCAAGCUGUCUUAAAAUGUUAGCAUGUACACUUAGCCUAAUUAGGCCAUUCAGACUUUAAGUCAUUAGAUACUGUGCAUGAACAACUUUGCAAAUCUUACCAAUUUGUCUUCUCAAUGCAAUUCGGCCUAUGUAUUAUGUGUUUUAAACUCUGUCACGAUGGCUUUUUUUAAAAUCAAACCUGUCUUAAAAAUUGUCUCUUUGUGUGUUGCUACCUUAAACUCCUAUUCUUAGGUCCUGUAGGUUCUAUCUUUUACCUCCCCAGUGUGAGCACUGCUCGGGGUCCAUGUGAGACUCUUGUGUACUCUGACACACUAGGGUUUGGUUCCUAACCUCCUUUGAAUUAUUUCUGAGCAUUUGUUCCUCUAGUGUGAGCAUUGCCCUGUGUCCUUGAAGCCCUUGGAAACUUUGACACACUAGAGAUUUGGAUACUAUUGUGAUUAUUCUAUACCUGUGAAUGUGAGCUUUGGAGCUACUAUGGUUUGAAGGCCUAGGUUGCCCUGGUGUAUUUGGGCCUGUUGUAGUCUCUCUAUAGUUUAUUUCAUUAUUAUGUAAUUCAUUCAUUAAUCUGGUUUGCAAUAAUUUUGUAACAAACAACUCUGGGGUAUUUAGUAAAAUCGAGAAGGGUUUCUUAUUUUCAUUUGCCAAAUCGGGUAGAAAUCAUGCCUAUGUGAUCUCACCUGUACUGUUUCAUACCAUGAUUAUAAGUCCUAUAUUAUAUUAACAUACUAGAGAUCAUGCCUAUAGGAUCAAUAUUCGUAUUAAUUAUUUUCUGUCUCAAUGUGUAUAAAUUCAUGCUCAUAUACUGUCGCAUUCUAAAAAUCAUGCCUAUAGGGUUAAAAUUAGCGCAAUUAUAGAAAUCAUGCCUAUAGAAUUAAAAUCCGUUCGAUGCUAGAAAUCAUGCAUAUAGGAAUAAAAUUAGCUCAAUGCUAGAAAUCAAGUCUAUCGGAUUAAAACUAGUUCAAACCUAGAAAUCAUGCCUAUAGGGUAAUAAUCACCAUACUCGUAGAAAUCAUGCUUAUAUGAUUCUAUUAACUUGUUCGAAAUUCGAUUAUCACUUCUAAUCAAUUAGACAAUAUGCCUAUAGUGUUUAACAAUAAUUCUUGACUUAUGAUUGUGAUUUAUUGUUGAGACGCCCAUAUACUGUACUGAAUAAAAACCAGUAGGAAAAUAUACGUAGGACCUAACACUUACUUUAAGAACUGACUCAACAUACUAUUGCUCGCUUGUUCAUCACAUAGAUAUCCUGCCCAUAGGACUCAAAGAUUAAUAAAUCCUGCUACAUCAGUUGCGUGCAUUUGUUGUUUACAUGCGGAGGUUAACGUGAGCCCAUAUCUGUCUUUAUUUGAAAAGUCCUAAUUUUUUUACUUGUCACCUAGUAUUUUAUAAUUUUGAGCAACUUAAGUUUAGUCUAGAACCUUCCUAAAUAGAGGUCCCAACGCCUCCUGGACCAUAGGCAUGGGACGGGUAGUGCACACAUAUGGUACGGUUUAGAAUCAACUAGUAUGCUUUAGGUAAACAACUUAAAGAUAGUAAUCGAGUAGCAAGAGAUGAUAGUCUGUGCUCGCUGAAUAAUACGAGUAACACCCUGACUCGAGGAAGUUACGAAGUAUUAUUUAUGUUGCACGGGGUGAUCCUUUAGGCUAAAAAAUUUAGGACCCCCCAUCCUUAUUAAAUAAUCCUCUCACUUAUUUAUUAGACUAAUUCAUAAUUGAGUUCGAUCGGGACCCACCAUUGUGGACCCCGAUAGGUGCCUAAAACCUUCCCCUCAAGGUAAUUUGAGCCCUUACCCGAUCUCUAGUGAUGCAAACUGGUAUAAUCUGAGUUAUUUGCUAUAGGUGCCCUAACGCACCUUAAUCCGUUAGGUGGCGACUCAAACAACCAAUUCCUUUUCCCUAUUCUCUCAAAAGGAUUUUCCAAAAUGUCAAAAUCCUAUUUCGCGAGAAAAAGGGGGCGCGACACAGAGCACUUGUUGGAAGGUCUAGAAGUUAAACAAAUAGAAGCAAAUAAGUUUUGUCGAAAAUCGACACGUUGGGAAUGUUAUAACCUGUAAUUUUUGGGUAAUACUAUGAGUAUUUAAAAUAAUAUGAAGGCCAUAUUAUGAGGUAUUUGAAUCUUAUAAUAGUUUUAUGUUAUGUUUUCAAGUAAAUAGAGUUGUAAAAGAAAAGUCGGGAAAGUAUUCACAAGUUACAUUUAUAAAUUAACUGUAUAUUUGCGUCAAAUGUUGAAAAGAUUUUCUCCCAAUAUAUUUGGAAUUACGGGAUGGUCCACACACCAAAUUGGAUUCUAUGAGUUUAAUUUUAAACUCAUUAAACUGCUUAUAAAUACAAUAUCAGAGUAGUGAGAUAUUCAUAUUUUUUGCAAGACUACGCGAGCAACUCCUUUUGGGACCUAUAAAGUCGAUGAGAGCUUAUCUUGUUAUAUAUAGUGGUGGCAAUCAUGUCCAAGCCACAUUUUCGGCCCAACUCAGAUCUAAAAGUCUCUCCAAAUUUCUAAACGUAUGCUUAGGGUUUGGAAGUCAAAUCAAAGGUGGAGAAGGUGAAACAAGGGGACUUAUUCCUUAGGAACCCGAACUAGUCGAUAGUUCGCCUCUUUCUCUGCGUAGCUGAUUGAGGAAGGUAUAGAAACGAAGUAAGCUCUGCCAAUUGGGUAUUUGUGUGCUAUAAGGCAUAUUCCCCCCCCCCCCCCCUUUUACUUGGGUAGAGUCAUUUUUAGGCCAUAGCAGGCCUAGAUGUUGAAGGAAAACAUGUUAAACUUGAAGUUAGAAGUAUGUUUGAGGUGUUGUGUGUAUGAGACUGUUUUGGAAGCUUUUUGAGCUAGGUUUCGGCUGAUUUUUGAUGUAGGGGCUUGGAUGUAUUAUUUUUUAUGGCAUUCCUAUUGUUUUGGUGCUAGUUUUAGUUGGAUGGAAGCGGAAUUUUAUAUGGGAAAUGAUGUCUGAGUUUCUAUAAGUGCCUUUAGCUUAGAAACAUGUUUGUAAGUCCUUAUAUGGAAUUAAUUAUAAGUUUUAAUGUCUUAAUGUAGAUUGAAGUAUUCAGGAAUAUAUAUGAUGAGUUAUAAAAUAAAUGAAAAAGGUAUAUUAAGGCUCACCCCUUUUUGAGACCACUUCCCACCUUGAUAGUCUUUAAUCUUAUAUCUUCCUACGAUCCUUGUUGACUUCCAAAAAAUUAAUAAAGAUACAGUUACAUAACGAUUAUUGGAGGAUAACAACCUCGAGUCACUACAAUCAUAUCCAUAAGGUCCUUCAGAGUUAUUUCUUGCAUUGCACUUAUAUAUAUAUAUCUAUUUUCUUACUGAAGUGAUCUAUAGUCGGCUAGGUACGACAAUUAUAUUUGCACACCUUUGCAAUUGGUUUUGAAAUUACUGAGUCAUACUAAGGCUUGGUACGGCCGAGUCCUCCUCGAGGCUAGGUAUGUUAUGUUAUGACAUGAUUUUCCCUGCAGAGUGGCUUGAUAAUAUAUUAUAGGCAGUAUUGAGUGGCUUGAUAAUAUAUUAUAUGGCAGUAUUGAGUGGCUUGAUUCUUAUAGACAUACAUAAAUAUCCAUGAUUAUGAUAGUGUAUGCCCUUAGAGGCUUUUUAAGAGUUUCAAGUUGACUUCUAUCUCUUCCUUCACAUUCCAUAUUUUAUUUAUGUGUGUUACCUAACUUGCAAAUUUAGUAUAUCUUUCGUAUUGAUGACCCCUUGUUGGGGAGCUGUGUUUCAUGCCUGUAGGUCCAUAUAUUGAUUCAGACAAUACCUCAUAGUAAGUGACUCGACUCAGGAAAUAGUUACCACGCUCCCUUCUUUCGGAGCCGUUUAGCGAGCUGAUAGCUAUAGUGGUCAUAUAUAUAUACAUAUUGGGCAGUUCAAGGUCCCGACCAGAUGUUGUUGAUGCAUUCUCUAGAGGCUUGCAGACAAUCGUCUUGUAUAUAGUAGUCGCGUGUGGCUUUCUCGGCCUUCUUUAUGGACCCGUUGUAUUUAUAUUUUCCUUGUCGGCCUUGUUGUAUAUAUACAUAUGUUGGGCGUUUUUGCAUGCAGUAGUUUGUGUCUUUUGAUCAAGUAAUCACUCGUUAGGGUCCUUGUCAACCCAUGUAUGGUUGAGUAUAUUACAGCUAUUAGGAUUGGUACGCUUGGGCCUUAGGGAACCGAGUGCCAACCAUAACCGCCAAAGAUGGGUUGUGACAAACUUGGUAUGAAAGCCGGUCUGUCCUAGGGAUGUCUACAAGCCCUGUCUAGUAAAGUCUUGUUUAUGGGUGUGUUGCGUGCCACACUUAUAAACUAGAUGUUAUGGGGCAUUUAGGAUGGUUAAUGUUCCUUUAUGUUCUAGAUCGUGCGAUAGAACCGAGUCACAUGGAAUGAAAAUUUUAACCCUAAUCCUUAUUUGUCUUAUAGCUGAGAGAUGACAUCCAUAAGACGGACCACAUGUGAUCCAAGGGAUGUGACGGAGAUGGAGGUGGAAGUAAGUUACUUCAUUAAUAUAGACGUAUCUGAGGUUAUGUCUUUUGUUGAGAUGGACCCAUCAAAGAUUAUGCCCUCUAUCGAGAUAGAUCCAUAUGAGAUAUGAGAGGAGUCACCACUAUGGGAUUCUCCGACCCCGAUGGUAUUAGAACAACCAGGAAGAGCUCCAAUUUCACUAGUUUCCCUAAGGCCCUAGUUGAGCGAGAAGCAAGGUGGGAAACACUAGUGUUGACUAGAUAAGUUGAUCCCCAAACCCCAUACUAUGAUGUCUUACCAGAAGAUGUGGGAGCUUUUAAGGAUUUGCGAAGUCAACGGUUUUGGGAGUCACUUAACCAGGACUCUCCAACAUCCAUAGAACAAGACACAUAUGAGGGUAAUAGUCGAACCAUAACGGCUAGAGUAAUGGGUACAUUCAUAGGACUCCCAAGCGACGACAAAUAGCAAUUAGAAGGACAAAAAGUUGGAGGACUUUCCCCGAUUAUGUUAGAACUAUUUGUGCCAGAUAAGGGAUCUAGGGUAGGGCCAUUGCAAGGUUCACAUGUAUCGGGAUCUCAGGACCAAAGUGAGUUAUGAUGGAAGUUGUACUUACCAUUUUGAUAAAAUUUCUUUAUACCCAUGAGUGUGAUCUUGAAAUGUCAUAUGUUAUACUGUGAUGAUAGUUCAUAAAUCUUUGCCGGUACGGCUAAGAGGGAAAAGUGUAAUUAUUAAAGGUAAUGACUUAGUGUGACGACCCGGCCAGUCGUCUCAUGAGUUACCACUUUGUUUCCCCUAUUGUUUCUUCUUGUUGCUUUAUUUAUUGGUUUUAUAUGUUAUCGGGUUGGUUGGCUCGGGUUCGGAAACAUUUUGAGAAGGUUUGAGAUAAUUAGUCUCUUUUGAGGAAGCUUAAGUUGGAAAAGUCAACCGGAUGUUGACUUAUAUGUUAGAGGGCUUGAAUAUGAGUUUUGGUGGUUCGGAUAACUUUAGGAGGUGAUUUGGGACUUAGGAGCAUGAUCGGAAUGUGUUUUGGAGGUCUGGAAUAAUUUUAGGCUGGAAUUGGUGAAAUUGGAUUUUUGGCAUUUUCCGGUUGAUAGGUGAGAUUUUGAUAUAGGGGUCAGAAUGGAAUUCCGAGAGUUGCAGUAGUUCUGUUAUGUCAUUUGGGUUGUGUGUGCAAAAUUUCAGGUCAUUUGGUCGUGGUUUGGUUGGUUUUUUUUUUUAUCAAAAGCGUAAUUUAGAAGAUUUUGGAAUUCUUAGGCUUGAAUCCGAUGUGAAUUUGGUGUUUUGAUGUUGUUUUGAGCGUUCCGAAGGUUAGAACAAGUUUGAAUGAUGUUAUGGGAGAUGUUGGCAUUUUUGGUUGAGGUCCCGGGGGCCUCGGGUGAGUUUCGGGUGAUCAAUCGGACCAUUUCAUGUUUUUGAAAAAUGUAAAAAAUUGUUGUUUAGUGUUGCAGAGAAAUGACCUUCGUGUUCGCGAGUAGGCCCUUGCGUUGGCAAAGGGCUGGGAUAUUGUGCAUCACAUUCGCGAGGCUGUGCCGCAUUCGCAUAGAGGAAGUUGAGCAGCUGGGGUUCAGGUAGAAUUGUUCAUCGCGUUUGCAAGAAAGGGAGCGCGUUCGCAAAGGUUGGGCUGAGGAACCAUCACGUUUGCGAGGAACCGGUCGCGUUCGCAUAAGAGGAAAAAUUUGGUCAAAGUUAGAUUGUUCUUCGCGAACACGAUGCGUUGACCGUUAUCGCAAAGAUGGUUUGGAGGCCUGGGGAGAAUGUUUAAAUAGUCAUCUUGUCCACGAUUUUGGGGUUAAUUUCCACCAUUUUUGAACAAUUUUGGAGGUUUUUGAAGAGGAUUGAAGAGGGAUUCUAGGGGAAACACUUGGAGGUAAGAUUUAUGGACUUAAUACUCGAUUCUAAUGUGAAUUCUACCUAAUUAAUCAUGGAAAUUAAGCUUAAUAUUGAAGAACUAGGGCUUGUAAUUGGAGACCUAGAAUUUGGGAUUUGAGGGGUCGUUUGUUGUUAGAUUUUGAUACUUUUGGUAUGAAUGAACUCGGGGAGUGAUAAGGAGUCCAUUGAUGUAAUUUUUAUCGAAAUCCGAGACGUGGGCCCGGGGGUCAGGUUUGGCCAAUUUCGGGUUUUGUGUGGUAAUUUGCUUUCUUUCGAGUGGGAUUUGUUCCCUUAGCCUAUUUUGAUGGUUUUGCAUUGAUUUUGGUUAGAUUUGUAGCAUCCGGAGGCCGAUUCAAGGGGCAAAGGCAUCGCAGGCUAGAUAUUUGGACCGGGUAGAGGUGAGUAAUGAUUUUAAAUGUUGUCCUGAGGGUAUGAAACCACGGAUUGCACAUUGUUGUGCUAUAUUAAGGUGAUGUACACACUAGAUGACAAGCGUAGGGUCGUGCACUAUUGGGGAUUGUGACUUAGUCCAUCUCGAAUGAUUAUUUUACCGCGUAUUAGACAAAAAACUGUUUGCUAUCAUCAUCUUUUGGGCUGAAUGCCAUAUUUGGGCCUUGUCCCAACUAUUUGAACCCUUAGGGGAUUUUUAUUGAUAUUUCCUCACUGUUUGGACUUUAUACUUGAACUCAGUUAUGCUAUAUUCUAUUGUUUUCGUAACUCAGGCAUGUUUACUCUACUUUAACACUUCAAAAUUAUAUUUUGGGCUGAGCAUCAUGUUUUACUGUUGCCCGAGUGACUUGUGAGAUUCUGACCAAGUAAGGCCGAGGGCCUAUGUUGUGAGGAAACACUUAUUAUGAUUAUGAGGCCGAGGGCCUGAGAUUUGCACGCCAUGAGGUGGCUUAUUGAUAUGAGGUCGAGAGCCUAUGUGAUUAUGCCACGAGGUGGCUUGAUAUUGCCCUUGGGCCAUAAGGGACCCCUCCAGGAGUCUGCACACCCCCAGUGAGUGCGGGUACCCAUUGUGAUGUGAGAUAUAGCCCGAGGGGCUGGUUAUUGUUCCAUGUGUUGCCCGAGGGGGUGAUUCUGUUAGUAUUGUGCCCGAGGGGCGUUUCUUUAUGUGUUUACCUUUUCUAGUUGCAUGUCUUUUACUUGCUUAGCUAUUUAAAAAGGCAUUUUAUAAGCUUAAACUAAACUAAAGUGACUUUGCAUAUUUUCACUGUUUCAUUACUUUUACUGGCUUUUACUGCUUCUUUAUAGCCUGUGAUGUGCCUUACAUGAUUUCUUAUUUCUCAGUCUUCAUUUAUUAUUAUUUCUCACUGAGUUGGAGUACUCCCUUUACUCCCUACAGCCCGUGUGCAGAUUCAGGCAUUGCAGGUUCUGCUUGCGAGGGUUGAGAGCUCCCGACAGAUUUUGGAGUUCAUAAGGUAGCUGCCUGGCAUUCGCAGCCCCGUGCUUCUUCCCCCUAUCUCAUUUUUUUUCUCUUGUUAGUGAUUCUAUAAUAGCUGUGUAGACUCUUCAGACUUGUAGUAUAUUGAUAGAUGCUCAUGACUGGUGACACCCCGAUGUCGGGCUUUGUUGGUUUUAAUUCCGCAAAUUGUACUUUUCACUGCUUAUUUUGGGAUUUUAUCAUGUUAAAGACUUAAUACUUAUUAUUUUAAUUGCUUAAAAUGAAGUGGGAAUGUGUCGGCUGGCCUUGUCUUCACGAGAGGCUCCAUCACGACCGGGUUCGAGUUUCGGUUCAUGACAAUUUGGUAUCAGAGCAUAGGUUACAUAGGUCUCACGAGUCAUGAGCAGGUUUAGUAGAGUCUCGUAGAUCAGUGCGGAGACAUCUGUAUUUAUCCUCGAGAGGCUGCAAAACCUUUAGGAAAAACUUCAUAUGCUUGAAAUUCUUGUCAUGCGUAUUUGUUGAUUCGAGUACUAAACUUAUGUUAUUCUAUUCUCUCACAGAUGGUGAGAACACGCGCUACGGGUCAGGAUGGAUGACCACCAGUACCACUAGAUAUGGCCACUAGAGUACGAGGACACGGUCGUGGUCGCGGU
rnacentral:lncRNA from 1 species